ensembl:misc_RNA
CCAGCUCUGGAGCCAUAAGCCCUCUGUUAAUCCCCAGUGCUGUCUGGGCAGGGGCAGGUGCAAGGGCAGGGGAAGCUUCCCCCAUAAUGUGGCUCAGCUCUGAUCAGGAGGGACCACCUGUAGUGGUGAGACUGGAGCUCCGUCUCUGUGGUCGAUAUAAUCCUUGGCCUUU